UUUGGUGAGUGGAGAGAAAGCACUGAAGCUUGGGCUUCAAGUUAUUGCAAAAAUCACUGGAUUUGCUGACGCUGCUCAGGAACCAGAGUUAUUUACGACGGCUCCAUCCCUUGCAUUCCCAAAGCCAUUUCCAAUGCAGGGUUGGAGGCUUCACAAAUUGACUUUUAUGAAAUUAAUGAAGCUUUUGCGGUAGGAAUUACUGCUGAAUUGUAGUACUUUUUCAAUUCAUGAUGCUAUAGAUUUUAACUGUUCAUAUUAUUGUCCAUAGGUUGUGGCUCUUGCAAACCAAAAACUUCUUGGACUAAAUUCGGUAAGUUCUUCUCUGUGUCAUCGAGUGAAAGUUGUAAUCCUAUGGUGUUUUCUGUUGACUGUCUUGAAGAGUGGAUGCUGUUGUAGGUCCCGAAUCCCUCUUUGCAUAGUGCAGAGCAUGCUACAAUUUGUCUACAACCCAUAAUUUAACAUUAUUGUGGCCAUUAAUGGUCGUAUCUCUAAUUAUCUUAAAGAAUGUAUGCUGUCGUAGGCUUCAAACCCAUCUUUGCAUAGUGCAGAACAUGUUAGAUGUUUUUCUAUAAUCCAUAAUUUAACUUAACCGCGAUCAUUAAUGGCUGUACCCUGCCAUUUAUUCCUUUCACUC
rnacentral:sRNA from 1 species